rnacentral:rRNA from 1 species
GAUGAACGCUGGCGGCGUGCCUAAUACAUGCAAGUCGAGCGAACCACUUCGGUGGUGAGCGGCGAACGGGUGAGUAACACGUAGGUGAUCUGCCCAUCAGACGGGGACAACGAUUGGGAACGAUCGCUAAUACCGGAUAGGACGAAAGUUUAAAGGUGCUUCUGGCACCGCUGAUGGUUGAGCCUGCGGCGCAUUAGCUAGUUGGUAGGGUAAAGGCCUACCAAGGCGACGAUGCGUAGCCGACCUGAGAGGGUGAACGGCCACACUGGGACUGAGACACGGCCCAGACUCCUACGGGAGGCAGCAGUAGGGAAUCUUCGGCAAUGGGCGAAAGCCUGACCGAGCAACGCCGCGUGAAUGAUGAAGGCCUUCGGGUUGUAAAAUUCUGUUAUAAGGGAAGAACGACUUUAGUAGGAAAUGGCUAGAGUGUGACGGUACCUUAUGAGAAAGCCACGGCUAACUACGUGCCAGCAGCCGCGGUAA